UACAGAGGUCUCAAGCGUUGUUCGGAUCUUGGCGUAAGGUGCGUAGGUGGCGCUGUAAGUCGGGUGUGAAAUUUCGGAGCUUAACUCCGAAACUGCAUUCGAUACUGCGGUGCUUGAGGACUGGAGAGGAGACUGGAAUUCAUGGUGUAGCAGUGAAAUGCGUAGAGAUCAUGAGGAAGACCAGUGGCGAAGGCGGGUCUCUGGACAGUUCCUGACGCUGAGGCACGAAGGCCAGGGGAGCAAACGGG
rnacentral:rRNA from 1 species